CUUUGGUCCUUAAAGACCUUCUGUUUUCCGUGAUUGGCCCGGGCCGGGGCAGGCCUAGACUUAAAGGGACUGCGCCCUCCAGGGGCAGGCGGGAGGGAAGUGACCUGUGGAGUUUGUAGCGGAGUUGGACCACUAAAAAAUUCCAGGGUUCUUUUUGGCGCUGGAAGGAAUUUAGAAGGCUCCUGGCCUGGUCCUGGUCAUCUGCUAUUUUCAGAAGCCCAGAGAGAUUGCGCCACUUGUUCGACUCCACACAGCGCUCCUCCUGUUCUUCCAGAGUUGAAGAAAGGCAGGAGGACUGCAGAGGUGCUGAGCCAAUCCCUCCCCAGGCCUGCUCCGCUUGGGGCGCAGGGGCCUGUGAGUCUAGGGCUGAGCCAGGGCCUGUGUGCAGAUGGAGCUUCUCAUUUACUCCAGCUACACGGCCACCCGUUCUGUUCUGGAAGCCUGCUCCUGCCCCUAUGUCUUGAGCCCACAACUG